GGCUGUAAAAUAUAUCAAAUGGGUUAUAAAGAGAGCAUUUGGAAUCUUAGCAAUUAGAUUCAGGUGCCUGCACCAAACUGGUGGGACACUGCCAUAUGGCCCAGAAGAGAGCAACAGGACACUCCUAGUAAGUUUGUGUGCCCCGCCAGCAUUGCCACCAGAUGUAGCUUUGCCAAUAUCAGCAUUACCACUGGAUGGGGCUAACAAUGUAUGGAGGAGCCUGAGGGGUAUCAGGAGGACAGUGCUGGCAGAACGUGUAAUAAUGACCACAGCCCAGGACUUGAUCUCAGGACUACAAAAGACAGCAUGAUUGCCACCAGUUUUGCAGACAGGCACAUCAGAAUAAUGUGACUCAGUGUUUACCCACUUUUCGUCUGGAUAUUCCUGGAACUGCACCACUCACAGAGAGAGCUGUGCUGCAAUUUGGGGCUGCAAAACCUCCCUCUACAUAUGGCUGCACAGGGUUUGCUGGAUGAUCCCAGACAGGGGAGGUCCAACCAUUUUAACUACAUGUGCCCCAGCAAAACGUUAAGCCUGGACCUAAAGGGGAAAAUGUUUCCCAGUGUCACUCCAGAAAGUCCAGCUUGCUGGGAAAUCCAACAGAAAAUUAAUUACCAAGGCCAUUUCCUGGAUGGCAACGGGCCUGAAGAGAUACAAACCUGGAUGUCUGAACGGUCCAGAAAGGCGAAAUGUUCCAUGGAAACUCAGAGCUCUUCUUUGCCAUGAGGCCUGCAAAAAAAGUGGCAACAGCUCUGCUACCAGUGUGCUGGCCAAUACUGUCUAAUUGUACUCCCCUGUCUGUCUGUCUCCAUCUAUUGUCUCUUAUCUCAUUCUUAGAUUGUCAGCUCCUUGGGGCAGAGACCAUCUUGUUCUGCAUUUGUACAGCACCUAGCACAGUGGGUCAUGGCCCAUGACUAGGACUCCUAGGCUCUAUGAUAAUACAAGUAAAUAAUAAUAAUAAAGAACCCCGGAGUUUCCAUCUCCCUGGUAAUUCUUGCUGACCCUCCCUAUGACCUACUCCCUUGGGUUAUAAAACCCUACCCACAUCACGUAUGCCUUUACCAGGUACUGCUUCAGCUACUACCUCAGCAAGAGCCUUUGGGAGUUGUAAGGUGGCCUGGAAAUUCCUGCUCAAGCACACAUGCUGCUGAAUGUCUAUCCCCCAUGCAGAAUGUUUUGCAGCACUUGUUCAUGCCUGGACUGAGUUCGGGCAUCACUGCAUUUCACCCUUUGGAGAGCCCUGGGAUGCAGGAGCAAUUGUAGAUGCGCUCAUCUGAUUCAGGAUACCCUCUGCGAAGGCCACAGCAAGGGGCAGAGACAUGAGUGGUUCUAUUUUGGCUGUUUUCUGUUGUUGUAUCCUCUAAUGAUGAUUUAAUGCCUAAAAUUCUUGUGCAUUACAUCAAAUUUCAUUCCCAGGGUAGGGAAAAGAGAACAAGAAAACUAUUU